CCAUCCAUUUGCCUCCGCCGCAGUUCGCACGAGGAGCGGCUCCUCCUCGAGAUCCCCCGCCUUUCUUCCUCCGAGAUCACGCCGUUCCUCCUCAGCCAGUCCUCCUCCGAGAUCUGGACGCCGGCCAUCCCCUGCGGGUCCUCCUGUGCUAUUCCCCCGAGAUUCCGUGGCCGUUUCUCCUCCGCCGCUGCCGUUUCUCC
rnacentral:lncRNA from 1 species